rnacentral:lncRNA from 10 species
CUCCCCUGCUCUCCCCUUCCCUCCAGCCCACUCGGUGGCACAGGAAGCCUUUAGUCUGAGCAGUGGCUGGCAGCACAGGGGUCUGGCUUCCCUCAACUCUGCCAGAGACCAGUAUCUCCGAAGCCACCUUUGGAAUUAUUCCCAAGCAACACAGGAUCCUGUGCCUUCUCUCUUUGGCCACGUGAAGCCAGCACUCUGACCCAUUGUGGAGAGAGACUGUACUUGGACUUGUUUUUCCCUCUCUCCCUGGGAGAGCCCGGAGUCAUCUGCAUGUUCUUGUCUGGAGCCCUCAGUUCCAAGAAGAGAAAGAGCUGCCGUUGAUAAGCAGCUGCCUGUGCCCCGGGGUGCAUUACCAUGUGAUCUCACAUGAUCUCAUUUAAAUCCUUCAGUGUCAUUUGACACUUGCAACAACCCUGGGAGAAAGGUGUUAUUAUCCUCCCCAUCUAACAGGGAAAGAAUUCACUCAGAAGCAGACAAUUCCAGUAACUCCCUGCCAGUCUCAGCUACUCACUGGAGGAGCCAGGCUCAACCCCAGGCCUGUUUAUCUCCAUGGCUGUCUGGAGUUCAAGGCAUCAUCCAUGCCCAUGAAACAGAGCUGCGUGUCUAUGUAGCCUGUGACUUUGGCUUGAAGUUCGAUGCUCUAUCCAACGGAGCUAACCAACCAUGGCCAAAAAGCAGUUGUCAUGAUAUCAGAAACCCAUUACAACCCACGGAGCCUCUGAAAGGUGCUUCAAGAAUAUGUUCCGUGAGUUGAAAGUGAUGCCAAGCAUUCUGCUCCCCUGGAAACAGCUGCCCAGCGCUUGAAGCAGCAAGAACAAUCCCCAAACGCAGAUCCAGCCUUGCACCAACCCUUCCAACUGCCUUCCCCCUCCCAGGCGAUGACAUACUCUGAGCCAGGAGGAGGCUGUCCUCCUGGGAAGAACAGUAUGACAUGACACCAGAAAGGACGAUGCAAAUGAUCUCAGAGUUGCACAAAUUGGCCGGUUGCAGAUUUCCUCCGGGUGAACAAGGCAAUCCUAAAACGCAGCAAUCUAUUCAAGCCAUUGUCAACAACAGCAACCAAAAGAAGCCUCAGUCCCCAUCCUUCACUCAUGGUUCCUAGAGGUUCUGCCGCUGCUACGGAUGACCUGUUCUGCGGUUGAUUUUCUGAAGUAGGCAGUGGGUUAAGCGUAUUACCAUUUUUCAAGGGAAACAACUGCCAAAUUGAGCUCGUUAGCUGGUAUAAAAAAGACAGUCUUAGCCUCUGGGCCUGAGGCUUGGAAGAAUCAGUGCAGGGCAGGGGAGGGCACAUUAACUGGGACUUGAGACCUUGGCCCACCUCAGCUAGCAAAUGGCUGGGGUAAGGCCUCUGCGUGUAACUCCCAAGGCUUCAUGGAAUUGACAGAGUCCAUGGACAUCAGAAGUUUAUGGAAGUGCAGAGGCCAUUGCUAUUGGGUUCAGUUAUCAUUAUCCAGGGGCUCUGCCAUCACCAGCACUCCCCAACCACGCAAAGCCAGGCCCGAGGUCUCCCCUGCAUCUUCCUUCUUCCUGGAUCCCAUCAGCUCCACCCAUCAUCUCUAAAUGGCCCCUCUUCCUUCCCCCACCUGGAAUGUCUCUUCCCAGAUUCCGCUGUUACCACGCCCGGACCAAGGCUGGACAUUAUCCUAAGCAGUCUCCAGGCUAUGCAUGGCCUGCCAUUCUGGCACACUCUUGGUUAGCUCCUGUCCCCCACCCCAGCUCCAUGACCUCCUUACCCUCUAAGGUAGGACCCCUCAGAGUCCAUGGGGGAGAUGCUCUUAGACCAGCCCUGACCUCCCUGCUGGGGAGCAAACGUGAAC